rnacentral:rRNA from 1 species
CGAGCGGACAGAAGGGAGCUUGCUCCCGGAUGUUAGCGGCGGACGGGUGAGUAACACGUGGGUAACCUGCCUGUAAGACUGGGAUAACUCCGGGAAACCGGAGCUAAUACCGGAUAGUUCCUUGAACCGCAUGGUUCAAGGAUGAAAGACGGUUUCGGCUGUCACUUACAGAUGGACCCGCGGCGCAUUAGCUAGUUGGUGAGGUAACGGCUCACCAAGGCGACGAUGCGUAGCCGACCUGAGAGGGUGAUCGGCCACACUGGGACUGAGACACGGCCCAGACUCCUACGGGAGGCAGCAGUAGGGAAUCUUCCGCAAUGGACGAAAGUCUGACGGAGCAACGCCGCGUGAGUGAUGAAGGUUUUCGGAUCGUAAAGCUCUGUUGUUAGGGAAGAACAAGUGCAAGAGUAACUGCUUGCACCUUGACGGUACCUAACCAGAAAGCCACGGCUAACUACGUGCCAGCAGCCGCGGUAAUACGUAGGUGGCAAGCGUUGUCCGGAAUUAUUGGGCGUAAAGGGCUCGCAGGCGGUUUCUUAAGUCUGAUGUGAAAGCCCCCGGCUCAACCGGGGAGGGUCAUUGGAAACUGGGAAACUUGAGUGCAGAAGAGGAGAGUGGAAUUCCACGUGUAGCGGUGAAAUGCGUAGAGAUGUGGAGGAACACCAGUGGCGAAGGCGACUCUCUGGUCUGUAACUGACGCUGAGGAGCGAAAGCGUGGGGAGCGAACAGGAUUAGAUACCCUGGUAGUCCACGCCGUAAACGAUGAGUGCUAAGUGUUAGGGGGGUUUCCGCCCCUUAGUGCUGCAGCUAACGCAUUAAGCACUCCGCCUGGGGAGUACGGUCGCAAGACUGAAACUCAAAGGAAUUGACGGG